rnacentral:misc_RNA from 1 species
UGGUUCUCGCAUCGAUGAAGAACGCAGCGAAAUGCGAUAAGUAAUGUGAAUUGCAGAAUUCAGUGAAUCAUCGAAUCUUUGAACGCACCUUGCACCUCUUGGUAUUCCGAGAGGUACAUCUGUUUGAGUGUCAUGAAUUCCUCAACCUCUACACUUUCUUGUAAAGUGCGGAAGCGUUGGAUGCUGAGCGUUUGCUGUCUCAAAAUACAGCUCGCUUCAAAUGUAUAAGCAAUCUUUGUACUACUCGGAUUGACUUGGCGUGAUAAAAUCUUCGUCAAGGAUGCUUUACAGCAGCCGAAUGGUAUCGCAGUUGCUACCAAACCGUCGCACUUGUGCCACACUUUUAUUUUAGACCUCAAAUCAGAUGGGACUACCCGCUGA